rnacentral:rRNA from 1 species
UCGAGGAUCUUUAGCAAUGCCCGAAAGGGUGACUAUGCGACGCCGCGUGUGGGAUGAAGGCCUUCGGGUCGUAAACCACUGUCAGGGAGGAAGAAACCUUACGUGUUAACAGCGCGUAAGCUGACAUCACUCCCAAAGGAAGCCACGGCUAACUCUGUGCCAGCAGCCGCGGUAAGACAGAGGUGGCAAGCGUUGUUCGGAUUUAUUGGGUGUAAAGGGUCCGUAGGUGGCCUAACAAGUCUGAUGUGAAAUCCCAUGGCUCAACCGUGGAACUGCAUUGGAAACUGCUGGGCUUGAGUACCGCAGAGGUAAAGGGAAUUCCCGGUGUAAGGGUGAAAUCUGUAGAUAUCGGGAGGAACACCAGUGGCGAAGGCGCUUUACUGGGCGGUUACUGACACUGAGGGACGAAAGCAAGGGGAGCAAACAGGAUUAGAUACCCCCGUAGUCCCUGAGCGGGCUGGCAAGGCGCAU